rnacentral:rRNA from 1 species
GUAUAGUACCGUGAGGGAAAGGUGAAAAGAACCCCGGGAGGGGAGUGAAAUAGAACCUGAAACUAUGUGCUUACAAGCGGUCAGAGCCCGCAAGGGUGAUGGCGUGCCUUUUGGAGAAUGAUCCUGCGAGUUACGUUCAGUGGCAAGGUUAAGUUUAACGGAGCCGAAGGGAAACCGAGUCUGAACAGGGCGAUUUUAGUCGCUGGGCGUAGACGCGAAACCUGGUGAUCUAAGCCUGUCCAGGGUGAAGCUGUGGUAAGACACAGUGGAGGCCCGAACUCACCGCCGUUGAAAAGUUGGGAGAUGAGGUAGGUUUAGGGGUGAAAAGCCAAUCGAACUAGGAGAUAGCUCGUUCUCUCCGAAAUGCAUUUAGGUGCAGCCUUGAGUGUUUAAUUAUGGGGGUAGAGCACUGAAUGGACUAGGGGGCGCAUUGCUUACUGAAUCCAAUCAAACUCCGAAUACCAUAAUUCAAGAGCUCAGGAGUGAGACUAUGGGAAUUAACUUCCAUUGUCAAAAGGGAAACAACCCAGACCACCAGCUAAGGUCCCUAAUCAUAACUAAGUGGGAAAGGAGGUGGAGAUUCAUAAACAACCAGGAGGUUGGCUUAGAAGCAGCCAUACCUUUAAAGAGUGCGUAAUAGCUCACUGGUCGAGAGUCUCUGCGCCGACAAUGUAACGGGGCUAAGUUAUGAACCGAAGCUGUGGAAUUGCGCAAGCAAUUGGUAGGAGAGCGUUCUGUAGGCCGUUGAAGGAGAAGCGUAAGCAACUCUGGAGGUAUCAGAAGUGAGAAUGCAGGAAUAAGUAGCGAGAAGGGAGGCGAGAAUCCUCCCCGCCGGAAGACCAAGGUUUUCAGGGUAAAGCUUGUCUUCCCUGAGUAAGCCGGGACCUAAGCCGAGGCUAUAGUGCGUAGGCGAAUGGAAAACAGAUUAAUAUUUCUGUGCCAGUCAUAUUUUGUGAUGGAGGGACGCAGAAGGGUAUGUACGCGGAAGAACGGUAGUUUCCGUAAAAGCAUGUAGAAUGACUUGAUAGGUAAAUCCGUCAAGUUAGAUUUGAGGUGUGAUAUAUAGUCGUAAGAUGAAUGUACAAAUCCCACGCUGCCGAGAAAAGCUUCUAACGUUAAGGUAUGACUGCCCGUACCCGAAACCGACACAGGUGGUCAGGAUGAGAAAUCUAAGGCGGACAGGCUAACUCUCGUUAAGGAACUCUGCAAAAUUGCCCCGUAACUUCGGGAGAAGGGGUGCCCCUGAGUGUGAGCAUACACGCGAUGUUAAGCGCUUGGGGGUCGCAGUGAAGAGGCUCAAGCAACUGUUUAACAAAAACACAGGUCUAUGCUAAGCUGUAAGGCGAUGUAUAUGGGCUGACACCUGCCCAGUGCCGGAAGGUUAAGAGGAGGAGUGAGAGCUCCGAAUUGAAGCCCCGGUGAACGGCGGCCGUAACUAUAACGGUCCUAAGGUAGCGAAAUUCCUUGUCGGGUAAGUUCCGACCUGCACGAAUGGUGUAAUGAUUUGAGCGCUGUCUUGACGGGAGGCCUGGUGAAAUUGUAUUACCGGUGAAGAUACCGGUUACCUACAGUAGGACGGAAAGACCCCAUGGAGCUUUACUGUAGCUUGGUAUUGGGUUUUGGCAUUGCAUGUAUAGGAUAGUUGGGAAACUAUGAUGGUAUGGCGCUAGCUAUAUCGGAGUUGUCGGUGGAAUACCAACCAUUCAAUGUUGAAAUUCUAAUCUGUGGUUUGGAGCCACGGAGACAGUGCUAGGUGGGCAGUUUGACUGGGGCGGUCGCCUCCGAAAGAGUAACGGAGGCGUUCAAAGGUUCUCUCAGGUUGGAUGGAAAUCAACCGCAGAGUGCAAUGGCAUAAGAGAGCUUGACUGCGAGACUGACGGGUCGAGCAGGUGCGAAAGCAGGACAUAGUGAUCCGGCGAUUCCGAAUGGAAGGAUCGUCGCUCAACGGAUAAAAGCUACCCUGGGGAUAACAGGCUGAUCCUACCCGAGAGUCCAUAUCGACGGUAGGGUUUGGCACCUCGAUGUCGGCUCAUCGCAUCCUGGGGCUGGAGAAGGUCCCAAGGGUUGGGCUGUUCGCCCAUUAAAGCGGUACGUGAGCUGGGUUCAGAACGUCGUGAGACAGUUCGGUCCCUAUCCACUGUAGGCGUUAGAAUAUUGAGAAGAUCUGUCCUUAGUACGAGAGGACCGGGAUGGACAAACCUCUGAUGUACCAGUUGU